rnacentral:rRNA from 1 species
AAUAGAUACCCCGGUAGUCCACGCCGUAAACGAUGAGUGCUAAGUGUUAGGGGGUUUCCGCCCCUUAGUGCUGCAGCUAACGCAUUAAGCACUCCGCCUGGGGAGUACGGUCGCAAGACUGAAACUCAAAGGAAUUGACGGGGGCCCGCACAAGCGGUGGAGCAUGUGGUUUAAUUCGAAGCAACGCGAAGAACCUUACCAGGUCUUGACAUCCCAUUGACCACUAUGGAGACAUAGUUUUCCCUUCGGGGACAACGGUGACAGGUGGUGCAUGGUUGUCGUCAGCUCGUGUCGUGAGAUGUUGGGUUAAGUCCCGCAGCGAGCGCAACCCUUGUUCUUAGUUGCCAUCAUUUAGUUGGGCACUCUAAGGAGACUGCCGGUGACAAACCGGAGGAAGGUGGGGAUGACGUCAAAUCAUCAUGCCCCUUAUGACCUGGGCUACACACGUGCUACAAUGGACGGUACAAACGGUUGCCAACCCGCGAGGGGGAGCUAAUCCGAUAAAACCGUUCUCAGUUCGGAUUGUAGGCUGCAACUCGCCUACAUGAACG